CCAGCGAAGCCAUGGCAGUCACAGCAGCAGGUUCCCCGUCCGUCCGUAGACACGUCGGAGGCGAACUGUUGCUCAGCUAACCGAGCGAAUGUUCCCAAUGCGACGACAAGCAAAGGAAGGAGCAAGCACACCACAGACGAGCGGCCCCCAAAAAAAGAUUGGAAUAAUUCUUACCAUGAUUGCCCUUCCCUUCCCGCAGCGCCUUCUUUCCCUUACGCUUGGACAGACACCGUGGAAACAGGCAUGUUUCAAAGAGGAGAACUAAUCCUUGACGUGUGGCGGAUGAUGAGCGUGACGCACAUAUGUGAUCGUUUGUGUCCUUUCUGUCUCCCGGCUGCGAACUGUGGCUGUGAAUCAGGAAGCAAGAACUCACUCAGUGCUAGGACUCCGAUGAAUGCGGUGCCGAUCCAUGUAGUCUAGCCCACGGUAAAGCUCCCGUCGUCUCCCCGAGCACCUCUCCUUCCCUCCUCGUCAUCCAGGCGCAGAACCGUAGCGCCGGCUGGGCUCUCACUGCCCGUCGCACGGUAGGACGCCGUCCUCGCCGCUCCGCGAGGGCACCGGUGUGCCCAGCUCGUCCACGCACCAGCAGUGGCCGCGCCGCGUGCCUUUGGAAGAGCGGCACUAAGAGGACGGGACGGGCCCAGAG